rnacentral:rRNA from 1 species
UACGAAGGUCCCAAGCGUUAUCCGGAUUUAUUGGGUUUAAAGGGCGCGUAGGCGGUUCGCUAAGUUGGAUGUGAAAACUCUGGGCUCAACUCCGGGCCUGCAGCCGAUACGGGCAGACUAGAGUUCGGCAGGGGAGACUGGAAUUCCUGGUGUAGCGGUGAAAUGCGCAGAUAUCAGGAGGAACACCGGUGGCGAAGGCGGGUCUCUGGGCCGAUACUGACGCUGAGGAGCGAAAGCGUGGGGAGCGAACAGG